rnacentral:miRNA from 1 species
AGCAGCAAGUCGGCGUGGAAGG